UGUAUGUGUUUAAAUAACCUUGGCCUUGGAAUAUCAGAUUAGUCUUGUUAGAAGGAACAACUACCUUCUCUCUGGUUCACAUAUCACCACUGCCAACAUAGAACUAAUAUAUUUGCUACUUAGGCUACUAACUCCACAUAUCACCAUGGAAACUGCAUGUUUACUUAAUUACAUUGGCUUUUGUAUGUAUCCAGGUCAUUGAAAACUUCGAACUUAUUGAAAGUUCAUAGUAACUGAAAUUGAUAGUACAAUCAUCGGGUUGAAUUUCUAAACAAAUAACUUCGAACUUAUUGAAAACUUUCAAGACCAAGCAACUAAUCAAAUAAUUCAUAGUAGGAUCAUCGGGUUGAAUUUCUAAACAAUCCAUCAUCUAUUUAUACAAUAGAGAACACAAUGGAGUAAUGUUUCUGACCAACAAUUGCUUCAAACAAUUGAUUAAAAGACUAUAUUGAUGGGGUAGAUAGUCUCUGAAGCAUUUGAUCUAACAAAUAAUGGGCAUCUUCAAUUUUACAAAAUCCUAAGAUACAACACUCUUUAAUCAUCAUAUUUCUGGAAUUGGGUUGUGAAUGAUUCAACACCAACAAAAAUCCCUUCAGCAAACCCCCUUUUAAACCAAUAAUCUUCGACGAUCAACCAUCGAUUUUAUAAAAAAAAUUAAUUUUUUGGUUUGAAUGGUAAGUGAUUUGUUGGAAAAUAAACCCUCUUACACAAGAACCCCAUUUCUCCAAAGAACUUCUUAACCACACACUUGUGUUCCUGAACUUGUUGUGAUUUUGAUGCAAUAUAGAAUAUACAGAAUUAAAACCCUAGAAAACUCUUAAAACACUUUGUAAGAAAGAGAAGAAGAAAAAUCACUAACCUGCGCAGGUAGCAAAAAUAAACCAACCAACGACUUCUCCGAUGGAAUUUCUAGAGUCUUAGGUUAAUGGAAGAAUAGAUAUAGAAGUUUGAAGAAUAGAUUUGUUUAUUUUCUUCUAAAUACUUCUUCUAAAUACUGUUAAUGGUUUAACAAAGAUUGUUUUUUUGACACAGAUAGCAAAUUUCAAUCUCUCUCUUCAAUAAAAGAUUUUGUCUUCGAUCAGUUAAAAAUUCGUGGAGAGAGAAAGGGGAGAAGACAAUGGAAUAGGGCUUUUAUUUUUAUUUUAAUUUAUUAUGAUACGUUAAAUUCCGACCAUUUAUUUUCAAUCUCA
rnacentral:lncRNA from 1 species